CCUACGGGUGGCAGCAGUGAGGAAUAUUGGUCAAUGGACGGAAGUCUGAACCAGCCAUGCCGCGUGCAGGAAGACUGCCCUAUGGGUUGUAAACUUCUUUUGUACGAGAGUAAACCUUAAUACGUGUGUGCAUCUGAAAGUACUGUACGAAUAAGGAUCGGCUAACUCCGUGCCAGCAGCCGCGGUAAUACGGAGGAUCCGAGCGUUAUCCGGAUUUAUUGGGUUUAAAGGGAGCGUAGGUGGAUUGUUAAGUUAGAUGUGAAAGGUUCGGGCUUAACUGGAGAAUUGCAUCUAAAACUGUCGGUCUAGAGAGCAGUAGAGGUAGGCGGAAUGUAUGGUGUAGCGGUGAAAUGCUUAGAUAUCACAAAGAACACCGAUUGCGAAGGCAGUUCACUAAUCUGCAACUGACGCUGAGGCACGAAAGCGUGGGGAUCAAACAGGAUUAGAUACCCCGGUAGUC
rnacentral:rRNA from 1 species